GCAUCAUCCAUAAUAGUAAAUAUAUGGAUUCAAUCAAGGUGUCUAUUGAUAAGUGAGUGCAUAAAAAAUGUUCUGUCUGUGUGCAGGGACAUACCAGUCACUUGGAAAUAAUUGUCACUUGCAGCAACAUGGAUGAACCAAAGAUCUCAGUGCUAAGUGAAACAAACCAGUUGCAGAAGGACAAAUACAUUGUGAUUUCUCUCAUAUGAAGAAUCUAAGAAGCCUAAGCUCACAGAAGCAAAACAGUAAUUACCAAAGGUGAAUGCUUGAAAGUAGGUCUUCUAAACUGGGCAGCGUAACAUAGCACACAUCUGUUAUCUCAGCACCCAGGAGCCUAAUACAGAAGGAAUGGGUUGGGGUCCAGGACUGAAUAUGAAGGAGAAAGAGAGUUGAACGUGAGGAUCGUGAUUCUUCCUUUCCUUCCUAACUGUGGGCACAAUGUGACCAGCUAGCCUCCUGCUGCCAUGCCUUCUUCACCAUGAAAUAAUAUAUCCCUCUAACUGUAAGCCAAAGUAAGCCCUCCUUUCCUCAUGCUUCUUAUGUCUGGUGUUUGAUCUCAGCAGCAAGACAAGCACCUAACAUAGAAAUUCAAGAACAGGUUUUAUUUUGCCUCAAAGAAUGUCAAAGAAGAGAUAAAACUUCUAGUAUGUGAACAGGAUUCCUCUCCUGAGCACAGGUACUGCCCACUGGGUGGUGAGAAAGGAAGUUGUAGCAGCCUCUGUGUGGAGCCAUUUUGCACUGUCUAUCCUCACAGCAGGGGAAUGUGGGACAGUGGACUCUGAGAGGCAGCUGGAUACCUGGUUGAGCACGCUUUGAACCCCAGAGACCCUCAGGGAUGGUAGGAGUUUGGCAUUGAUUCUAGGCCCCCUGGUUCCUUUUACAUAGCCACAGCCCUCUACAGCCCCUUCCACAGAGAGGUUUAUGGCCAUCGAUCACAUAGCACAGGUAGAGGGCAUGACACAGGCCGAAGAGCCUCAAGACAUCUCGAUAUUCAUGAGAUACCUAAAGGCCAGAGGGCAUAGCCAAUUGAGCAUUCCUUCCCAGACCCUCCUCCUUGCAAAAGGCCCCCUGCUGAGAACACAGGGUAUAGCUUCAUCCACUUUCCUCCAUGACAAUAAAUACCAUAGCCUAAGACCAUGGAUUACCUCUUUUCUUUGGGGCCCACCGUGGGGAACUGUGGAUAAGGUCUUCAACUACGGAGCCACCAUCUAAUCUCUGGCCGCUGACCUCUCUACAUUUGAGCCACGAAGGCUGCCAACUCAAGUAAGCUAGCCAAGCCAGCUGAGACCCAGCCAAUCAAGCCCAAGGGCUUGAGAGCAAUCAGUCCCCGGCCACCUCCUGGCCUGGGGAUCCCCAACCCAAGAGCCUGGAGUCCACCCAGUGCAUCGUGGAGUGAAUGCAGUCUAAUUCCUGAGUCUCUGCCACCCUGAGCUGUGGCCCCAGCCCCUUGGGACAACAGACAUGGGACCCAUAAUUCAGCCCAACA